rnacentral:rRNA from 1 species
CGCGUAGGCGGCCAUGCGUGUCUUCCGUAAAAUCCCUCGGCUUAACUGAGGACGUGCGGAAGAAACUGCAAGGCUCGAGUCCGGGAGAGGGGGGUGGAAUUCCCAGUGUAGCGGUGAAAUGCGUAGAUAUUGGGAGGAACACCGGUGGCGAAGGCGGCCCCCUGGACCGGUACUGACGCUGAGGCGCGGAAGCGUGGGUAGCAAACG